CUACAGGUAAACAACACACUGUAACACUGUUCUGUCCAAGUCACUACAGGUAAACAACACACUGUAACACUGUUCUGUCCAAGUCACUCUAAAGGUAUAGAACACACUGUAACACUGUUCUGUCCAAGUCACUACAGGUAAACAACACACUGUAACACUGUUCUGUCCAUGUCACUCUACAGGUAAACAACACACUGUAACACUGUUCUGUCCAUGUCACUCUACAGGUAAACAACACACUGUAACACUGUUCUGUCCAUGUCACUCUACAAGUAUUUUUUUUCUUCUAACUACGCAUGUCAGUUAAGAACACAAUCUUAUUUUAAAUCCUAUGUGGGAACAGUGGGUUAACUGCCUUGUUCAGGGGCAAUUUUACCUUGUCAGCUGGGGGAUUUGAUCCAGCAACCUUUUGGUGACUAGCCCAAUGCUCCAAGCACUAGGCUAACUGCCACCCCAGUAUACAAAAACCGUAACACUGUUCUGUAACACUGUUCUGUGUGUAACUACUCUGAAUACAGUAUAAUAUCAAAUCAAAUCAAAUCAAAUUUUAUUUGUCACAUACACAUGGUUAGCAGAUGUUAAUGCGAGUGUAGCGAAAUGCUUGUGCUUCUAGUUCCGACAAUGCAGUAAUAACCAACAAGUAAUCUAGCUAACAAUUCCAAAACUACUACCUUAUAGACACAAGUGUAAGGGGAUAAAGAAUAUGUACAUAAAGAUAUAUGAAUGAGUGAUGGUACAGAGCGGCAUAGGCAAGAUACAGUAGAUGGUAUUGAGUGCAGUAUAUACAUGAGAUGAGUAUGUAAACAAAGUGGCAUAGUUAAAGUGGCUAGUGAUACAUGUAUUACAUAAAGAUGCAGUAGAUGAUAUAGAGUACAGUAUAUACGUAUACAUAUGAGAUGAGUAUGUAAAUAAAGUGGCAUAGUUAAAGUGGCUAGUGAUAUAUUUUACAUAAUUUCCCAUCAAUUCCCAUUAUUAAAGUGGCUGGAGUUGAGUCAGUGUGUUGGCAGCAGCCACUCAAUGUUAGUGGUGGCUGUUUAACAGUCUGAUGGCCUUGAGAUAGAAGCUGUUUUUCAGUCUCUCGGUCCCAGCUUUGAUAUGCCUGUACUGACCUCGUCUUCUGGAUGAUAGUGGGGUGAACAGGCAGUGGCUCG
ensembl:lncRNA